ACUCAAAGGAAUUGACGGGGACCCGCACAACCGGUGGAGCGUGUGGUUCAAUUCGAGACAAAGCGAAAGACCUUACCAGGUCUUGACAUGCUACCGUUUUAACUCGCUGGAAACAGUGGGCUAUCCGCAAGGAUGGUAGCACAGCUGCUGCAUGGCUGUCGUCAGCUCGUGCCGUGGGGUGUUCCAUUAAGUUGGAGAACGAGCGCAACCCGUGUCUAAUGUUAUAUGUUUCAUUAGAGACUGCCCCGAUUUCCAUCGGGGAGGAAGGAACGGACGACGUCAAGUCAGCACGGCGCUUAUGACCUGGGUAACACACACCCUACAAUGGCGAAUAACAAUGGGAAGCAAACCGGCAACGGCUCGCAAAUCCCCACUAAAUUUCGCCUCAGUUCAGAUUGGGGUCUGAAACCCGACCCCAUGAAGUCGGAAUCGGUAGUAAUCGCAAAUCAGAAGGUUGCGGUGAAUACGUUCUCGGGUCUUGUACACACCGCCCGU
rnacentral:rRNA from 1 species